rnacentral:rRNA from 1 species
GACGAACGCUGGCGGCGUGCUUAACACAUGCAAGUCGAACGGAAAGGCCCUGCUUUUGUGGGGUGCUCGAGUGGCGAACGGGUGAGUAACACGUGAGUAACCUGCCCUUGACUUUGGGAUAACUUCAGGAAACUGGGGCUAAUACCGGAUAGGAGCUCCUGCUGCAUGGUGGGGGUUGGAAAGCUUCGGCGGUUGGGGACGGACUCGCGGCUUAUCAGCUUGUUGGUGGGGUAGUGGCUUACCAAGGCUUUGACGGGUAGCCGGCCUGAGAGGGUGACCGGCCACAUUGGGCCUGAGAUACGGCCCAGACUCCUACGGGAGGCAGCAGUGGGGAAUAUUGCACAAUGGGCGGAAGCCUGAUGCAGCAACGCCGCGUGCGGGAUGACGGCCUUCGGGUUGUAAACCGCUUUCGCCUGUGACGAAGCGUGAGUGACGGUAAUGGGUAAAGAAGCACCGGCUAACUACGUG